GCGCUCUUAGUUCAGUUUGGCAGAACGUGGGUCUCCAAAACCCGAUGUCGUAGGUUCAAGUCCUACAGAGCGUG
rnacentral:tRNA from 1 species